rnacentral:rRNA from 1 species
GGGGUCAUGGAAAACGGGGGACUUGAGUGCAGAAGAGGAGAGCGGAAUUCCACGUGUAGCGGUGAAAUGCGUAGAGAUGUGGAGGAACACCAGUGGCGAAGGCGGCUCUCUGGUCUGUAACUGACGCUGAGGCGCGAAAGCGUGGGGAGCGAACAGG